rnacentral:rRNA from 1 species
GACGAACGCUGGCGGCAUGCCUAACACAUGCAAGUCGAACGAGAACUUCGGGUCUAGUGUCGCACGGGUGCGUAACGCGAGGGAACAUGAACUUAGGUUCGGAAUAACUCCACGAAAGGGAUACUAAUACCGGAUAAUGUCUUCGGCCCAAAGAUUUAUCGCCUUUGGAUGGGCCAGCGUUGGAUUAGAUAGUUGGUAGGGUAAAAGACUACCAAGGCGAGGAUCCAUAACUGGGCUGAGAGGAUGAUCACCCACUCCGGGACGAAGACACGGCCCAGAAUCCUCCGGGAUGCAGGAGUGGGGAACGUUGGAACACGGGGUGAAGCCUGAUCCUGUUAGGCCGCGUGAGUUAUGAAGGUCGUAGGGUUGUAAAGCGCUUUUAACCGUGAUGAUAAUGACAGUACCGGGAGAAUAAGCCCCGGCUAACUCCGUG